GACGAACGCUGGCGGCGUGCUUAACACAUGCAAGUCGAACGAAAAGAGGGAAAGAGCUUGCUCUUUCCGGAAUUGAGUGGCAAACGGGUGAGUAACACGUAAACAACCUGCCUUCAGGAUGGGGACAACAGACGGAAACGACUGCUAAUACCGAAUAAGUUCCAAGGGCCGCAUGGCCCAUGGAAGAAAAGGUGGCCUCUACCUGUAAGCUAUCGCCUGAAGAGGGGUUUGCGUCUGAUUAGCUGGUUGGAGGGGUAACGGCCCACCAAGGCGACGAUCAGGAACCGGUUCGAGGAGAAGGAACGCCACACCUGAAUUGGGAAACCGUCCAGGAUCCUACGGGAGGGAGCAGUGGGGAAUCUUCCGCAAUGGGCGGAAGGCUGACGGAGCAAAGCCGCGGGGGGGAAGACGGGCUUCGGGUUGUAAAACUCUGUGAUCCGGGACGAAAAGGCAGAGUGCGAAGAACAAACUGCAUUGACGGUACCGGAAAAGCAAGCCACGGCUAACUACGUG
rnacentral:rRNA from 1 species